ACACUAACAAAAUAGCCUGACCACCUAAAACAACACAUCACUAUUUUUACCCACAAAUAUCCUUAACCCUAUUAAAUAAAACAUUCUCCCCCCUUAGUAUAGGCGAUAGAAAAGGAAAUAAGAGCAACAGAGAAAGUACCGCAAGGGAACAUUGAAAUAAAAAUGAAACAAAUAUAGCAAGUUUUAAAAAGCAGAGACUAAACCUCGUACCUUUUGCAUCAUGAUUUAGCAAGUAAAAUCAAGCAAAGUGUACUUUAGUUUGACAUCCCGAAACUAAGUGAGCUACUCCAAGGCAGCCUAAAAAAUAGGGCGAACCCGUCUCUGUUGCAAGAGAGUGGGAAGACCUUUGAGUAGGGGUGAUAGACCUACCGAACUUAGUUAUAGCUGGUUAUCCGGGAAAUGGAUAUGAGUUCAGCCUUCCGGGUUCUCACCGCACACCUCCAACCAUACCGCCAUCUAAAGAAACCAGAAGAGUUAAUCAAAGGGGGUACAGCUCCUUUGAUAAAAAAUACAACUUCUCCAGGUGGGUCUGGAUCAUAUUAGUUUAUAAAGGUAAAUUAUAUAAGUGGGCUUAGAAGCAGCCAUCAAUAAAGAAAGCGUUAAAGCUCAAAUUAAUAAAACUACCCCUCUAUAACGAUAACCCCUUCCUAACCCCCUAGCUUUUACCGGAUUUUUCCAUGCAAACAUGGAAGUAAUAAUGCUAAUAUGAGUAAUAAGAGAGCACUCGCCUCUCUCCCCGCACAAGUGUAAAUCGGAGCGGACCACCCACCGAAUAAUAACCGGCCCCAAGCCAAGAGGGUACUGAACCAAGUACAUAGAUAACUGGAAAACCGUUCAUUAAUAAACCGUUAAACCUACACUGGAGUGCCCCAUGGGAAAGACUAAAAGAAGGAGAAGGAACUCGGCAAACACUGGCCUCGCCUGUUUACCAAAAACACCGCCUCUUGCAAAUUAAUGUAUAAGAGGUCCCGCCUGCCCGGUGACUAUAUGUUUAACGGCCGCGGAACCCUGACCGUGCGAAGGUAGCGCAAUCACUUGUUUCUUAAAUGGGGACCUGUAUGAAUGGCUUCACGAGGGCUUAACUGUCUCCUCCCUCCAGUCAAUGAAAUUGAUCUUCUCGUGAAGAAGCGAGAAUUAAAACAUAAGACGAGAAGACCCUAUGGAGCUUUAAACACUCGAACAAUUAUGUUAAGGCCCCCUAAAAAGGAAUAAAACUUAAAUACCACUGCCCCUGUGUUUUAGGUUGGGGCGACCACGGGGUAUUAGAUAACCCCCAUGUAGAAUGGGAAAACUGACUGCCUAAAACCAAGAGGGGCACCUCAAAGGAACAGAAUUUCUGACUAUGCACGAUCCGGCAAUGCCGAUCUACGGACCAAGUUACCCUAGGGAUAACAGCGCAAUCCUCUCCAAGAGUCCAUAUCGCCGAGUGGGUUUACGACCUCGAUGUUGGAUCAGGACAUCCUAAUGGUGCAGCCGCUAUUAAGGGUUCGUUUGUUCAACGAUUAAAGUCCUACGUGAUCUGAGUUCAGACCGGAGUAAUCCAGGUCGGUUUCUAUCUAUGAUAUGACCUUUUCUAGUACGAAAGGAUCGAAAAGAGGAGACCUCUACUCUAAGUACGUCUCACCCUUACUGGGUGAAAACAACUCAACUCGACAAAAGGGCAUAACUCCUUCUGUCGAGACCAGACAAU
rnacentral:rRNA from 1 species